UCCCGCUCGCUCCGCCCCAUCUAUCCCGGCAUCCCCCCUCGCUCUCCCCUUCCGCUUCCGGCGGGAGCGGAGCGGGGAGCGAAGGCGACGUGUCGGAGCGGAGCGGGAACCGGGCGCCAUGGAGCUGGAGGCGAUGAGCAGAUACACCAGCCCGGUGAACCCGGCCGUUUUCCCGCACCUCACCGUGGUGCUGCUGGCCAUCGGCAUGUUCUUCACCGCCUGGUUCUUCGUCUACGAGGUGACUUCGACCAAGUACACGCGGGACAUCUACAAGGAGCUGUUGAUCUCGCUGGUGGCUUCGCUCUUCAUGGGCUUCGGCGUCCUAUUCCUGCUGCUGUGGGUCGGUAUUUACGUCUGAGGCCCGGGCGGAGGAGCACCGGUACCGCCUUGUCGAUCCCUAUGGCUGUAAGCUCCCCGAGGUGGGAAGCCCUGCGGAAAGUCUUUUUGUAUUUCUUUUAUACUUCAACAACAAAGCUCGUGUCAGGUGUGGGCUCUGCUCUUGUCGAGUGACUUCUGCCAGCCCAACAAACCAAACCUGAAUAAAACUGGCUCUGUGACGCA